UGAAAUUGGAGGUUCCGGCGUAGUCCGUA
rnacentral:sRNA from 1 species